CUAAUUCUCUUAAUACAGACGUAAAGGGGUUUUCUAGCCUAGCAAGUAAACGCUGGAGUCAAAUAGCACAGCAAGAAAAUCGUUGCUCAUGGUGGGCUCUUCUACGAAUUCUUCAAAAUGGAAGACUGAACAGCUGAAGAAGAUAACAUCUAAGAAUAUUGUUCUAAAGCCAAAAGAUGGAGGGGUUAAGAAGAAGCCACUAUUAAAGGAUGAAUGCCUUUUUUGUCAUAAAAGGGGACACUGGAAGAGAGACUGUCCAGAACUCAUGACAUAAAGUGCAACGAGUGGGAGCUUAGAGUCUAAGUGACAGCCAAAAAGUAAAGUCGGACGAAGUGGACCCACGCAUUAAAAAUGGAGCAAGAGUAGUUGUAAUAAACUAAUAAUGUUGUGUAUCAUACAACAUGAAUUCCUA